UACGGGGGGAGCAAACGUUGUUCGGAAUUACUGGGCGUAAAGCGCACGUAGGUGGCGACGUAAGUCGGGUGUGAAAGCCCCGGGCUCAACCUGGGAAUUGCAUUCGAGACUGCAUUGCUGGAGUACGGAAGAGGAAGGCGGAAUUCCCGGUGUAGCGGUGAAAUGCGUAGAUAUCGGGAGGAACAUCAGUGGCGAAGGCGGCCUUCUGGUCCAGUACUGACACUCAAGUGCGAAAGCGUGGGGAGCAAACAGG
rnacentral:rRNA from 1 species